rnacentral:rRNA from 1 species
GACGAACGCUGGCGGCGUGCCUAAUACAUACAAGUCGAGCGCAGGAAGCUGACGGAACUCUUCGGAGGGAAGGCAGUGGAAUGAGCGGCGGACGGGUGAGUAACACGUAAGGAACCUGCCUCAAGGAUUGGGAUAACUCCGAGAAAUCGGAGCUAAUACCGGAUAGUUCAACGGACCGCAUGGUCCGCUGAUGAAAGGCGCUUCGGCGUCACCUUGAGAUGGCCUUGCGGUGCAUUAGCUAGUUGGUGGGGUAACGGCCCACCAAGGCGACGCUGCAUAGCCGACCUGAGAGGGUGAUCGGCCACACUGGGACGGAGACACGGCCCAGACUCCUACGGGAGGCAGCAGUAGGGAAUCUUCCACAAUGGACGAAAGUCUGAUGGAGCAACGCCGCGUGAGUGAUGAGGGUUUUCGGAUCGUAAAACUCUGUUGUAAGGGAAGAACACGUACGAGAGGGAAUGCUCGUACCUUGACGGUACCUUACGAGAAAGCCACGGCUAACUACGUGCCAGCCGCCGCCGUAAUAC